GAUGAACGCUAGCGGCAGGCUUAACACAUGCAAGUCGAGGGGUAUAGUUCUUCGGAAUUAGAGACCGGCGCACGGGUGCGUAACGCGUAUGCAAUCUACCUUUCACAGAGGGAUAGCCCCAGAGAAAUUUGGAUUAAAUACCUCAUAGUAUAGCAGUUUCGCAUGAAACCACUAUUAAAGUCACAACGGUGAAAGAUGAGCAUGCGUCCCAUUAGCUAGUUGGUAAGGUAACGGCUUACCAAGGCAACGAUGGGUAGGGGUCCUGAGAGGGAGAUCCCCCACACUGGUACUGAGACACGGACCAGACUCCUACGGGAGGCAGCAGUGAGGAAUAUUGGACAAUGGGCGCAAGCCUGAUCCAGCCAUGCCGCGUGCAGGAAGAAGGUCCUAUGGAUUGUAAACUGCUUUAUACAAGAAGAAACACUCCCUCGUGAGGGAACUUGACGGUACUGUAUGAAUAAGGACCGGCUAACUCCGUGCCAGCAG
rnacentral:rRNA from 1 species